rfam:Brachypodium distachyon strain Bd21 chromosome 3, whole genome shotgun sequence.
UUGUUACUCCCUCCGACCCAUAUUACUUGUCUCAAAUUUGCCCAAAUAUGGAUGUAUCUAUGUUUAAAAAGCGUCUAGAUAUAUGUAAUAUUAUGACAAGUAAUAUGGGUCGGAGGGAGUAUUAC